GUUAAAACUUGUUAAUACAUCUAAAAAUUGGAAUAAUCUUCAUGAGAAAGAUUUGUGAUGCUGCUGUGUCCUCUUUUGUAUCCAAUGCGCUUGUGGGACUGCUGUCUUAUCUAAAAUGAAAGAAAACUUUCAUGAUUUUAUACAAAAACCCCAAAACAAUGCUUCAAAAACCCCACUACUACAAUAGUAGAGAGUAGUUAAUAGUUAUGUAUCAAUUAAAGAUCUAUAGAGUAUAGCACUUACAACAUUAUAUUAUAAUGAUAAUAAAGGCCAUUUUUGUAUGGCAAUUUUUUGGGCUUACUCGUUUCAUAAGGGGGAAAAAAGUACGUGACAAAGACAUAAUACCAACACAGUUAUGUAUUUCUAGUAUGAUUGGCAGAUAAAGAAUAUUGUGUCAAAAAAAGAGAAAAAGAAAAUUGAAAAUAGUACCAUACAAGUUACUCUUUAUGCAAGCAAAGCUCUCUCUCAAGGUGUUUAAUAUAAAAACUACUCUGUUUUCCUUCCAACCUUUCACCUACCAUGAAGUACUAGAGCUAAUUUCAUAAUGGGGUGGCUUCACUCACUCGUCUCCCCAUUGAAGAAGCUUUGGGAUCGUCUACACUCACAGCAUAGAAAACGUAGAGGGAUAUAUAUAUUAUACAAAGAUGUAAAAUCAUGUCCUUGUGAAGAUGUGCAAGUUCUAUGGUCAAUAUUGGUUGAAUCAGCUGGCUCAGCUUCUUUGCAUCAGAAUGGAAGAGUCUCUCCUGCAUUGUAAAAAUAAUAACAGCCUAAAAUGGCAGAAGAGAUGAUGAUUCAAUCUCGAUCUUGUGUACAUGAUUUUCAUUACAUUAUACAUACACAUAUAUGUGUAUAACGUAAAUAAUUAUCCUUGUUGAUUUUCCUGUUUUGUGUGGAAAAAUUGUAUAUUAUUUGGGUUUCUUAUAGCUGAAUAUUUGGAACUUGCUUAUUACUC